rnacentral:rRNA from 1 species
GAAGGUUUUCGGAUCGUAAAACUCUGUUGUUAGAGAAGAACAAGGAUGAGAGUAGAACGUUCAUCCCUUGACGGUAUCUAACCAGAAAGCCACGGCUAACUACGUGCCAGCAGCCGCGGUAAUACGUAGGUGGCAAGCGUUGUCCGGAUUUAUUGGGCGUAAAGCGAGCGCAGGCGGUUUCUUAAGUCUGAUGUGAAAGCCCCCGGCUCAACCGGGGAGGGUCAUUGGAAACUGGGAGACUUGAGUGCAGAAGAGGAGAGUGGAAUUCCAUGUGUAGCGGUGAAAUGCGUAGAUAUAUGGAGGAACACCAGUGGCGAAGGCGGCUCUCUGGUCUGUAACUGACGCUGAGGCUCGAAAGCGUGGGGAGCGAACAGGAUUAGAUACCCUGGUAGUCCACGCCGUAAACGAUGAGUGCUAAGUGUUGGAGGGUUUCCGCCCUUCAGUGCUGCAGCAAACGCAUUAAGCACUCCGCCUGGGGAGUACGACCGCAAGGUUGAAACUCAAAGGAAUUGACGGGGGCCCGCACAAGCGGUGGAGCAUGUGGUUUAAUUCGAAGCAACGCGAAGAACCUUACCAGGUCUUGACAUCCUUUGACCACUCUAGAGAUAGAGCUUCCCCUUCGGGGGGCAAAGUGACAGGUGGUGCAUGGUUGUCGUCAGCUCGUGUCGUGAGAUGUUGGGUUAAGUCCCGCAACGAGCGCAACCCUUAUUGUUAGUUGCCAUCAUUUAGUUGGGCACUCUAGCGAGACUGCCGGUGACAAACCGGAGGAAGGUGGGGAUGACGUCAAAUCAUCAUGCCCCUUAUGACCUGGGCUACACACGUGCUACAAUGGGAAGUACAACGAGUUGCGAAGUCGCGAGGCUAAGCUAAUCUCUUAAAGCUUCUCUCAGUUCGGAUUGUAGGCUGCAACUCGCCUACAUGAAGCCGGAAUCGCUAGUAAUCGCGGAUCAGCACGCCGCGGUGAAUACGUUCCCGGGCCUUGUACACACCGCCCGUCACACCACGAGAGUUUGUAACACCCGAAGUCGGUGAGGUAACCUUUUUGGAGCCAGCCGCCUAAGGUGGGAUAGAUGAUUGGGGUGAAGUCGUAACAAGGUAGCCGUAUCGG